GCUUAACACAUGCAAGUCGAGGGGCAGCAUGAAAGUAGCUUGCUACUUUUGAUGGCGACCGGCGCACGGGUGCGUAACACGUAUCCAAUCUACCCAUGGCUCAGGGAUAGCCUUUCGAAAGAAAGAUUAAUACCUGAUGGUUUCAUGAGCCCGCAUGGACUUAUGAAUAAAGAUUUAUCGGCGAUGGAUGAGGAUGCGUCCGAUUAGAUAGUAGGCGGGGUAACGGCCCACCUAGUCGACGAUCGGUAGGGGCUCUGAGAGGAGGAUCCCCCACAUUGGAACUGAGACACGGUCCAAACUCCUACGGGAGGCAGCAGUGAGGAAUAUUGGUCAAUGGGCGAGAGCCUGAACCAGCCAAGUAGCGUGAGGGAUGACUGCCCUAUGGGUUGUAAACCUCUUUUGUUUGGGAAUAAAGUGAGCCACGUGUGGCUUUUUGUAUGUACCUUACGAAUAAGCAUCGGCUAAUUCCGUGCCAGCAGCCGCGGUAAUACGGAAGAUGCGAGCGUUAUCCGGAUUUAUUGGGUUUAAAGGGAGCGUAGGCGGGCCUUUAAGCCAGCGGUCAAAUGUCAGGGCCCAACCUUGGCAUGCCGUUGGAACUGGGGGUCUUGAAUACACACAAGGAAGGUGGAAUUCGUCGUGUAGCGGUGAAAUGCUUAGAUAUGACGAAGAACUCCGAUUGCGAAGGCAGCCUUCUGGGGUGCGAUUGACGCUGAGGCUCGAAAGUGCGGGUAUCGAACAGGAUUAGAUACCCUGGUAGUCCGCACAGUAAACGAUGAAUGCUCGUCAUUGGCGACAGACAGUCAGUGACCAAGGGAAACCAUUAAGCAUUCCACCUGGGGAGUACGCCGGCAACGGUGAAACUCAAGGAAUUGACGGGGGCCCGCACAAGCGGAGGACAUGUGGUUUAAUUCGAUGAUACGCGAGGACCUUACCCGGGCUUGAUUGCAGAGGAGAUGCAGAGAGCUGACGCCCUUCGGGCCUCUGUGAAGGUGCUGCAUGGUUGUCGUCAGCU
rnacentral:rRNA from 1 species